rnacentral:SRP_RNA from 1 species
GCUGGGUGUGGUGGUGUGCACCUGUAGUCCCAGUUACUGAGGAGGCUGAAGUGGGAGGAUCAUUUGAGCCCAGGAGGCGGAGGCUGCAGUGAGCCAAGAUUGCACUGCUGCAUUCCGGCCUGGGCAACAGAGUGAGACCCUGUCUCUA